rnacentral:rRNA from 1 species
AAGGAAUAUUGGUCAAUGGACGCAAGUCUGAACCAGCCAUGCCGCGUGAAGGAUGAAGGUCCUCUGGAUUGUAAACUUCUUUUAUAUGGGACGAAACCCGGGAAUUCUUUCCCGAUUGACGGUACCAUAAGAAUAAGCACCGGCUAACUCCGUGCCAGCAGCCGCGGUAAUACGGAGGGUGCAAGCGUUAUCCGGAUUCACUGGGUUUAAAGGGUGCGUAGGAGGGUAGGUAAGUCAGUGGUGAAAUCUUCGAGCUUAACUCGGAAACUGCCGUUGAUACUAUCUAUCUUGAAUACCGUGGAGGUGAGCGGAAUAUGUCAUGUAGCGGUGAAAUGCUUAGAUAUGACAUAGAACACCAAUUGCGAAGGCAGCUCGCUACACGAAUAUUGACUCUGAGGCACGAAAGCGUGGGGAUCAAACAGGAUUAGAUACCCUGGUAG